CCCCUUUCUUUCUUAUCAUCUUCACGAUAGAACCCAAAAAAGCCAACUUCAACCUCAUUCUUCUCCAUCUCCAUGAACUUUCUUUUCAACAAUGGAGACCCACUACGAAGGAGACCUACUGCAAUGGAGACACAUUGCGAUGGAGACCCACAACGACGUCGAAUCUAAACGUUUCAAAGACAACAACCCACAUUUGUUUUCUCAUCGACGGCAACCCACACUCGUGACCCAUACUCUUUUUAAAGAUUUCGAAGACAAGAAAAAGUCUGAAAAUAUUGAAGCCAGAGUUGGAAAAUGAGUUUCAUACCUUAACCGGGAGAAGAAGUUGGAUUCACUUGUAGGUUGAUGUCCUUCUGCUCCACAUGCCCCUAGAGGACGUUACAUAUAUGGCAAUGUUGGAAGUGGCAUUUAUAUGAUAUACUUAUUUUGGAAGAAUACUAUAUUUAGUACCUAAGGCCUUAGUUAUAACUUUACAGGUGCAGAAAGCACUUAUCUCUCUCUGUCUCUUCCAGAAUGAACUCCUGUUUGCUGAAAAUGAGAAUAUGCGGAAAAUGGUUGUGCGUGCGAUUGAGAUUGUAUUCUGUUUUUGUGGGGGUGUUUUUAAAGAUGAAGAUGGAAGAUUGGUUCUAAUGGAGCCGACAAAGUUCAUGAAAUUUUCUUCAAAGAAGCUAAUCAGGGUCAUCAAAAUACACUGACUGUUUUUAGAAAUGAAGGAUUUGACUAUGGUUCAAGCAACAAAAAAUAUUUUCAGAGAUGAAGGAUUACCGGUUGGUUGUUUAUGUAUUAUGAUGGUAUUUACACUGGUUUUGAUUAAAGGCUGUAAUUUCAUACUUGUAAAUUGUUCAAACGUGAUUGGAAAUGUACGAAUAUUACAAAGUGUGUUAUGACGUAUAUA